CUCUCCUGAGUCCUGGCCUUGACCUAAACGUAAAUGUAAUAAGCUUGAAGAUUGUUUUUAAAUUUCUAAAGCACUUGUUACUACAGGUCUUUUAAAUAUAACGAAAUAAGAGCACUUUUUGUAGGGAAUAACUAUAUUUAAAAAUCACUGACGUCAUUGAUUUAACUGACAACUUUUAUACCUGACACGAAACCUGACGCCCCUCCUUAAGCCGUAAUACAAUUACAGGUGGCAAUGGUGAAGACUGAGGGGGUGGGCCAUAACUGAGAGAGCUCCUGUUACUGUGUGGACAUUGCGGAGUAGGAAAAUUAUCUCCAUUCUCCAACUGCUGCCCACAAACCAGGGAGCUCCUUUUGCUCAGCGCUGAAAGAUAUGUGCAUGACUAGACGAUAUGGGGUAGAAAUCACCAUGUAGUGGACAAUGGAAUGUGAGGCUUUUGUUCUUGUU